GAACGCUGAAGAGAGGAGCUUGCUCUUCUUGGAUGAGUUGCGAACGGGUGAGUAACGCGUAGGUAACCUGCCUUGUAGCGGGGGAUAACUAUUGGAAACGAUAGCUAAUACCGCAUAACAAUGGAUGACACAUGUCAUUUAUUUGAAAGGGGCAAUUGCUCCACUACAAGAUGGACCUGCGUUGUAUUAGCUAGUAGGUGAGGUAACGGCUCACCUAGGCGACGAUACAUAGCCGACCUGAGAGGGUGAUCGGCCACACUGGGACUGAGACACGGCCCAGACUCCUACGGGAGGCAGCAGUAGGGAAUCUUCGGCAAUGGGGGCAACCCUGACCGAGCAACGCCGCGUGAGUGAAGAAGGUUUUCGGAUCGUAAAGCUCUGUUGUAAGUCAAGAACGAGUGUGAGAGUGGAAAGUUCACACUGUGACGGUAGCUUACCAGAAAGGGACGGCUAACUACGUGCCAGCAGCCGCGGUAAUACGUAGGUCCCGAGCGUUGUCCGGAUUUAUUGGGCGUAAAGCGAGCGCAGGCGGUUUGAUAAGUCUGAAGUUAAAGGCUGUGGCUCAACCAUAGUUCGCUUUGGAAACUGUCAAACUUGAGUGCAGAAGGGGAGAGUGGAAUUCCAUGUGUAGCGGUGAAAUGCGUAGAUAUAUGGAGGAACACCGGUGGCGAAAGCGGCUCUCUGGUCUGUAACUGACGCUGAGGCUCGAAAGCGUGGGGAGCGAACAGGAUUAGAUACCCUGGUAGUCCACGCCGUAAACGAUGAGUGCUAGGUGUUGGAUCCUUUCCGGGAUUCAGUGCCGCAGCUAACGCAUUAAGCACUCCGCCUGGGGAGUACGACCGCAAGGUUGAAACUCAAAGGAAUUGACGGGGGCCCGCACAAGCGGUGGAGCAUGUGGUUUAAUUCGAAGCAACGCGAAGAACCUUACCAGGUCUUGACAUCCCGAUGCUAUUUCUAGAGAUAGAAAGUUACUUCGGUACAUCGGUGACAGGUGGUGCAUGGUUGUCGUCAGCUCGUGUCGUGAGAUGUUGGGUUAAGUCCCACAACGAGCGCAACCCCUAUUGUUAGUUGCCAUCAUUCAGUUGGGCACUCUAGCGAGACUGCCGGUAAUAAACCGGAGGAAGGUGGGGAUGACGUCAAAUCAUCAUGCCCCUUAUGACCUGGGCUACACACGUGCUACAAUGGUUGGUACAACGAGUUGCGAGUCGGUGACGGCAAGCUAAUCUCUUAAAGCCAAUCUCAGUUCGGAUUGUAGGCUGCAACUCGCCUACAUGAAGUCGGAAUCGCUAGUAAUCGCGGAUCAGCACGCCGCGGUGAAUACGUUCCCGGGCCUUGUACACACCGCCCGUCACACCACGAGAGUUUGUAACACCCGAAGUCGGUGAGGUAACC
rnacentral:rRNA from 1 species